UGCCAGCAGCCGCGGUAAUACGGAGGAUCCAAGCGUUAUCCGGAAUUAUUGGGUUUAAAGGGUCCGCAGGCUGUUUGUUAAGUCAGGGGUGAAAUCCUACCGCUCAACGGUAGAACUGCCUUUGAUACUGGCAAACUUGAGUUAUUGUGAAGUAGUUAGAAUGUGUAGUGUAGCGGUGAAAUGCAUAGAUAUUACACAGAAUACCAAUUGCGAAGGCAGAUCUCUGGGACAUAACUGACGCUGAGGCACGAAAGCGUGGGGAGCGAACAGGAUUAGAUA
rnacentral:rRNA from 1 species